rnacentral:rRNA from 1 species
UACGUAGGAUGCAAGCGUUGUCCGGAAUUAUUGGGCGUAAAGAGCGAGCAGGCGGUUCGACAAGUCAGAUGUAAAAUAUCCCGGCUUAACCGGGAGGGGCCAUUUGAAACUGUCGGACUAGAGUGGAGCAGAGGAUAGUGGAAUUCCCGGUGUAGUGGUGAAAUGCGUAGAUAUCGGGAGGAACACCAGUGGCGAAGGCGACUAUCUGGGCUGUAACUGACGCUGAGGCGCGAAGGCCGGGGGAGCAAACAGG